CCUACGGGAGGCAGCAGUGGGGAAUAUUGCACAAUGGGGGAAACCCUGAUGCAGCGACGCCGCGUGAGUGAAGAAGGAUUUCGGUAUGUAAAGCUCUAUCAUCAGGGAAGAAAAUGACGGUAUCUGAUUAAUAAGCCCCGGCUAACUACGUGCCAGCAGCCGCGGUAAUACGUAGGGGGCAAGCGUUAUCCGGAUUUACUGGGUGUAAAGGGAGCGUAGGCGGGGAAGUAAGUCAAAAGUGAAAGCCCGGGGCUUAACUCCGGGACUGCUUUUGAAACUGUGUGACUGGAGUGCAGGAGAGGUAAGCGGAAUUCUUGGUGUAGGGGUGAAAUGCGUAGAGAUCAGGAGGAACACUCGUGGCGAAGGCGGCCUACUGGAAUGUAACUGACGUUGAGGCUCGAAAGCGUGGGGAGCAAACAGGAUUAGAUACCCGAGUAGUC
rnacentral:rRNA from 1 species